rnacentral:rRNA from 1 species
UGCGAGUCGAGAGUCUUAGGGACUCGGCGUACCGCUCAGUAACACGUGGGUAACCUGCCCUAUGCUGGGGAAUAACCUCGGGAAACUGAGAAUAAUGCCCCAUAGUCCACCAUGCCUGGAACGGUUGGUGGAUGAAAGCUCCGGCGGCAUAGGAUGGGCCUGCGGCGUAUCAGGUCGUAGGGGGUGUAACGUACCCUCUAGCCAUCGACGCGUACGGGUGUUGGGAGACAUAGCCCGGAGAUGGAUUCUGAGACACGAAUCCAGACCCUACGGGGUGCAGCAGGCGCGAAAACUUGGCAAUGCGAGAAAUCGUGACCAGGGAACUCCAAGUGGCUGGGGUAAGACCCAGUCUUUUCUUGACUCUUCAAAGGUCUUGGAAUAAGGGGUGGGUAAGGACGGUGCCAGCCGCCGCGGUAAUACCGGCGCCUCAAGUGGUAGUCGAUUUUAUUGGGCCUAAAACGUCCGUCGCCUGUUUGGUACAUUCGUGGGUAAAUCAACCAGCUCAACUGGUUGAAUUCUGCGAGCACGGCCAGACUUGGGACCGGGAGAAGUGUGGGGUACGCUUAAGGUAAGGGUAAAAUUCUGUCCUUCUGAACGGACCCCCUGGUGGCGAAAGGCUCCCACACCUAGAACCGAUUCGGACGGGUCAGGGAACGAAGCCUAGGGGCACGAACCGGGAUUAGAUACCCGGGUAGUCCUAAGUGUAAACGCUGUGGACUUGGUGUUGGGAAAGUUCCGAGCCUUUCUCAGUGCCGAAGCGAAAGUGAUAAGUCCACUGCCUGGGGAGUACGGUCGCAAAGGCUGAAACUUAAAGGAAUUGGCGGGGG